rnacentral:rRNA from 1 species
AUGUUACGACUCGUUACCCCUCCGGCUGGUGAUGGCUAUUGGUGGAUCACCGGGGUCUAUGGACCACAGGACGACGAGGCCAAGCUCGAGUUCCAGGCCGAGCUGCAUGAUGUGCGUGAAUCCCGCAUUGGCCCGUGGCUCCUUGGUGGUGACUUCAACAUGAUUGUCUCGGCGGCCGAGAAGAGCAAUGUAAAUCUGAACCACCACGUCAUGGGUAGAUUUCGACGUUUCAUCGCCGAUGAGGAGCUCCCCGACCUAUACAUGCACGGCCACCGUUAUACUUGGUCUAACGAGCGCGACAACCCGACCCUAGUCCGCAACGACCGCAUCCUCUGCACCUCAGGAUGGGAGAGUGCUCACCCACACUGCCUCCUUCAGUGCCUCUCUUCGGCAGCCUCGGACCAGUGCCUGCUCCUGGUUGACUGUGCGGUGCGGCCACCCGGGGCUAGACGCUUCACUUUGAGAGAUUCUGGCCGAGGCUUUAGGGCUUCCAUGAUGUGGUUUCGAAGGCCUGGACUUCCACUACGCCUGACGCCGACCCUUUCAGAAGGAUCGUGA